AUGUAUUAUUGUACUACAGACACAGUGAAGAAACUCCAGUGCUGGAUAACCAAGGAUUCCAGUCCUCAACCAAUACAGAACACAGACCAGCACCACGCAGGGGCGCUGAUCUGGGUUUUCCUUGUCACUGUUUUAAGAGGUGUCCAGUAUGAGGUGCAGCUGGUGGAGUCUGGGGAAGGCUUGGUUCAGCCUGGGGGAUCCUUGAGACUCUCCUGUGCAGCCUCCGGAUUCAUCUUCAGUGGUUCCUGGAUGAGCUGGAUCCGCCAGCCUCCAGGGAAGAGGCCUGAGUGGCUCUCAUACAUCAAUAGUGGUAGUAGUAACAUACAGUAUGCAGACUCUGUGAAGGGCCGCUUCACCAUCUCCAGAGACAACAGCAAGAACACACUUUACCUGCAGAUGAACAGCCUGAGAGAGGAGGACACGGUCCUCUAUUAUUACUGUGCCAGAGACACAGUGCCAGAAAUCCAGUGUGGGCCCAGACACGAACCUCCCUGCAGGGCUGCUCAGGACCAGCAGGGGGCACGUGUCAUCACCUGUGACAGGAUGGAGGAUGAUGGAGCAAUCCCCAGCUCUCCAUCCCCAUGA